UUGCGAAGAGGUGAAAACUGACAAAAAGAAGAAGAUGGGGUGCAUGUGCCCUAAGGGCAUCUCCAGCCGUUGGCCCCUCCAGGACGCAUAAAAAUCGCCCCCUGGGGGUGAGCCGGCGAUACAAUCGGUGCUGGGGACUGUUUUGCGCCCAGUCGUCGCCCCCAGCUCAUCCCCAGGCGCCGAAAUUGGCCCACUUUGCAGCCCAAUUUCGGCGAAUAAAGGGCCCAUAUGGGCGAGAAUAGGCUCAUAUUCGGCGUGGUUUCGCCGUGUCUCGGCGUUCAAUUAUCAACACAAUUAUUUCUUAUCACAUAUUUCAUCACAGAAAAAUCAAAUACUUCAACAAAAUAGUACAACAACAAAUAGUUCAAUACAAAUUAUAUAGUUCAACAAAUAAAAACUCGUAUUUCAUCACAUGGCGUCCCCCUUGAGCCUCCACAGGUGCUCAAUCAGAUCUUUCUGCAGUUGAUGAUGCACCUGUGGGUCUCGGAUCUCCUGACGCAUACUGAGAUAGGCAGUCCAAGUGCCGGUAGCUGGUGAUCAACUUCGGCUAGAGGACCCUGCCUAUAGUAUGGUUCAGUGUCAAACACUGGGUCUUCUUGCUUGCUCUCGAUAAUCAUGUUGUGCAAGAUGACACAGCCAGUCAUAAUCUCCCACAUUUGAUAUUUGGACCAUGUCUGAGCGGGGUACCGAACAACAACAAAUCGAGAUUGGAGCACACCAAAUGCCCGCUCGACAUCCUUCCUGCAAGCCUCCUGAAGCUUCGCAAACCAGGCGUUCUUGCCUUCUGCCACAGGGUUUGAGAUCGUCUUCACAAAUGUCGACCAUCUCGGAUAGAUGCCGUCAGCUAGAUAGUACCCCUUGUUGUAUUGGUGCCCAUUGAUCUCGAAGUUCACCGGAGGAGAAUGGCCCUCAACGAGCUUGGCAAAAAUAGGAGAGCACUGCAGCACGUUGAUGUCAUUGUGAGUUCCUGGCAUACCAAAGAAGGAGUGCCAAAUCCAGAGGUCCUGUGUGGCUACCGCCUCAAGCACCACACUGCAACCGCCUUUGGCGCCUUUGUACAUCCCCUGCCAACCAAAUGGGCAAUUCUUCCAUUUCCAAUGUGUCGUGGUUUUGUCACGGCAGAUGUCCUAGAGAAAGGACUUAGUCGUGGAGCCAUCGCGAUGGGUUAGCUUGAAGGGGUUAAAGCGGACACAGGGACGCAAGAGAGUUUAUACUAGUUCGGCCCCUUCAAUGAAGGUAAAAAGCCUACGUCUAGUUGUGAUAGAAUUGAUGGGGUUUCGAUGACUAGGGAGCAAACAAGCUUCGCAUAUGUCUCGAGUUGUUGUCUGUUGUCCUUGAACCGCCGCCGGGUCGUCCCCUUAUAUACACGGGUGACGCUCGUCGGUUCACAGAGUCCUAAUACCGGCUCAUAGAUCUGUCCGGUUUGAUCUUUACUUAUUCCUAACUUACAAUACAAGUUAACUACUAACGCCGGUUUACGGCUACAGGCCUUGAACCGACCAUGGGCCUGGAGCCCUCAUCUGCCUUCUUGGGCUUUAACAUACUUAACUACUGAUGAAGUUAAUCCGGCCCAGACAGGCCGGUUUACGCCCAGUAGUAAUAUCCCCAACAUUAGGCCCCAGAUUGAUUUGAACAUGUUCAUGUCAAUCCUUUAGCAAAAAUCUUCAUCUUCAACAUCUUCUCAUAAAUUGGUAAACCGCCAUGAUGUCAUCUUCUCUGAUUGUUGUAAACCGGAGUGACGUCACCUGUCAUAACGAAGCUUAUCCUUUAUGCUUCCUUGUUUAAUAGAUCUGCGGAAAUCGAGGCGACAGCUCCGUUUCGUGGCCCCUUGAUUGUCGCGCCUGACACAUGUCCUUUUGCCUUAUAAAUAGGACCGAAGGGUCAUUUCUUUUCUCCCCUUCGUGCCUUUCUUCUUCGUCUUCCUCGCGUCGCCAGCCUCGGAGCUCCGCCGCCGCCGUCAACUUCUGCACCAACCUUGGCCGCUGCAUCAACCUGAACGCACCAGAGCACCGCGGCAACCUUUCGCGUCUUCCUCAACUUUGGUAAGCCUUUUGCUCUUCUCAACACAGAUUUGUUCUAGGGUUUCAUGUUCUUGCAGUGUUCAUCACUUGUUCGUGUUCAUAUACUAGCUCCUGGAUGCAUCUGUGAACCCCUGCUCUGUGUAGCAGUAGCUUUUAGUAUCCGCCUUUAGUUUCAUGCCCAAGACAAUAGAUCUCACAUAUAUUUCUGCCCAUUGAUUCAAUACUGUUCUGCUUUGAGCUUUUGAAUAUUUUUCUUAUUUUCUGAACUUACUUCAGAUCCAACGCUGUAGAGAAAUCUUGUGAAAUUUGUUUCUGCAUACUUAUCCAUCCGCAAUCUCAGCUGUUUCAAUGCUUAGACCAGGCGGUUUAACUUUGUAGAAAAAAUUGCCAAACCGGUAUAUACCAUUAGUCCCCUUGUUGAACCGCCAGUUGUUGUUGCCUCAUAAAACUCCGGUUUAGAUAGAUCAGUCUCCGGUUUAAUAUUGCACAUACCACUGUACCUUAAUCAAUGCAUUUUUGAACCGGGAUCAUCUACCUUGUAGAUUUCAUCAUGGCCAAGCAAGUAUAUGAGUGCAACUGGGUUCCUUCUCGCGUCACAGAGGCUCAACUAGACGAUUUAGUCCUGAUUAGCACCUUAGGCAGCAAAGAUAGGGCUCCUGGCAAAGAAUGCCCUCCCACACCUCAAGAAGGAGAGGUCGUCGUUUUUGUAGAUCACUUAGCCCGGGGCUUUAAGCCACCCGGUUCUAAAUUUUACCGGGACGUGUUAGCCGAUUUUCAACUCCAUCCAGAAGAUACUGGCCCCAACUCUAUUACAAACAUGUGUCACUUCCAAGUGCUCUGUGAGGCGUUCUUUCAAGAGGAGCCCACAGUGGAAUUGUUCAGAGACUGUUUCCAUCUUAACCACCGUACUGAGUUUACUGACGGCUCCAAUACGGAGUUGGGUGGCGUGGCGAUUCAGAAAAGGAAAGAGGUCCCAUACCCUCACGCCAAACUGCACAGCCACCCCAAAGAGUGGAAUCAAACAUGGUUCUAUUGCAAAGACACCUCCCCUGCUGAUGAAAAUCCCUUGCCUCGCUUUCGUUCGGAGCGGCUCAGCAAUACACACCCCUUUCCGCAAAGGUUGACUGCCGAGGAGAGAAGCAAAUAUGCUCCUCAACUGUCGAAGCUCAGAGCCUUUAUGGCCAACAGUUUAACAGGGGUUGAUCUUGCCCGCUGUUGGAUAUCAUGAAGCAUACUGCCCCUUAGUCAGCGCUCCGGUUUGAUGUGUGAGUAUACUGGCAGUGUUGAUGACCCACUGCGACAUUCCAAAAUCCAGCUCACCGAUGAAGAAAUCACAGAGGCUGUGAAUAAGAUGCUGAAUGAACCGAAACAUAUCUGUGCUAAAACUGGCCUGCUUCCCUUCUGUGCCACCAACAAACCGCCAGCUGUAAGAGUUUGAUUUUUCUUUUUGCUAAAUCUGCUAUUGAUAUAUCUGGUCAUUGUUUAAUAUCAGUGUUUGUGUAACCAGGGCAAUGAUCCGUUUUGGAGCAAGAAACUGCCGCAGGAGAAACCAGAAAAACCAGACAAACCGGAAAGAGCAACCCGGCAAAAGACUAAAGCUGUGAAGAAGACUGCCCACAGGAAAAGAACCACUGCAUCCUCUAACCCGGCUCCUGAUGAUGAUGUGUAUAAUCCGGACCUUGAGGUAGGGAUUGACUCACUUGGCUUAUUCUUCAUGUGUCUUAUUGAUGAUGAUAUUUGUCAGGAUGAUGCCGAAGCCAGCCAUGCUGAUGCUGCAGAGGUAAUUAUUCUCUCUUGCGAUUCAGAACCUUUGCCUUCACUAAAAAUCCGUCAGGCAAACCGGAAAGUUAAAUUUUCUCAUCCUCUUGCUUAUUUGGAUCCCAAAUUUCUUAUGAAGACCCAACAGCACGAAGCUCGUCGCACAACCCGGCACAGCGGCCAGGUAGUUACCUUCGCCGGUUUACCGAACAGUCCGGUUCGGAAAUGCCGUUCAGAGGUCUCUAAUUUGCUUGUCAGUGCUUGUCCUAAAGCGGGCUGCUUUCGUCAACCUCUUAAUCCAUCUGACUCCGAUUACCAGGUUACUUCCCACUCAUCUUCUGGCGAUUCAUCGGCUACUCAGCUGCCACCGCUCAAAACGGUGCUUGGGUAAGCUAUACUUAUCAUAAUAUUUGCAGCACAUCGCCUUGGAACAUAUGCUGUAUUUGAUUUUGUUAUUCCUUUCAGGGCCAAGCCUAGGCCAAGCAAUAAGGCUCGUCUAGACAAAGCGGCCGAAGAAGAUGCCGUCCUUGAACCGGGCAAAACACCAGAUCUUGAAGCGGCUAUUCCUGAGGAUAUACCCAAUGAUCCGUCGCAACAAGACGAUGAUCUUAUUGCUGAAGAGAGUCCUAUUGAUACCUCAAGUCCUGUCAAUCAGCCCACAAGCUCUAUCCGAAUUGAGAAAUCCACCGGUCCAACAAAGCCUACUGACAAACCAACAGCCCCAGUGCAAACCGGUGAUACCAAGGAUGAUGAGGUUGUCAUUACUGGCAUUGGCCAUACAGAGCCAAGCAAUCCUGUCGCUUUGUCUAAACAUUCUGCCAAGGAAGAAUUUGCUGCCUUUGGCAAAGGCAAGUGGAAUGCUGAUCUGGCGACUUACACUGCUCUGAACGCCCAAGAAAUCCAUUCCAGCUACCUGAACCGGCUGUAUACCAGUCGUGACUAUGAAGCCGGUCUGAUAAAUAUGAUGAAGGAUAAAUAUGAGGUAACUUCCAUAUGCUCUUUACUGUUUGUAUAUCUCAAUUCUUGUUGCCGCUCCUAGCCCCCAAGGACAGGUUUGUAAUCUUCUUUCAAACCGGGACUUACUAAUACAAAUCUUAAUGCUUUGAAAUUUGCUGGUGUAGUCCCCAAGGGUCGGUUCAACUUAGUGUAGUUAAACCGGUACUUUAAGUAAUUGAGAUCGCCGCAUUAGAAUACAUAUGAGCAAAUAGCCACUAGCCCCCAAGUGCCAAGUUGAAUACUAGUAUUGAUCUUGGGACUUUGCAAGCAAUUGAAAGAUGAGGAUCGAAUAUGCAUUAGCCCCCAAGUGCCAAGUGCAUCACUUGUUAUGUGGUUGGUACUUCAAUCCUUGUACCGUUUUGCUGAAUCAUAUAACUGUCUGCAUGCAGGCUGAGCUGAAGACGAAAGAAAGCCAAGUCGCCGACCUCCAAGAUAAUCUGAAAUACUAACAAGCUGAAACCUCCAAAGCAAAAGAGGAAUUAACCAGCGCUUUAAGCGCCAUGGAACAGCUGAAGGAGAGCUUCAACAAGAAGCGGGCGGAUUGGGCCACUGAAAAAUCCGCUUUAAUCAAACGAGCAGAAGAUGCCGAUGCUGCACUCAAACCGGUGGCGGAUGAACUGACCAGCAUAAAGCGGCACGUGCAUGCCAUGACCACUGCUAUCUUUGGUAAGCCGGUUUGACUUCUGAACUGAUUCUGCCGUCUUAUAGAGCUGCCGGUUUGUUAACCCUUUAUGAUAUUUCAGGGACACGCAUUGGUCACUUGGGGUCAGAUGUGCAAAAGAAAUUGAAAGCCGCCUAUACGUUGGUCGAACAACUGUACACUGGUGCACAGCGGAUCAACUGUACUGCAUCCCACAACAAGCCGGCGCCCACCUUGAUUCAGGACACUCUGAUGAAACUGUCGGUGCUUCCUGCCCGGGUUGAAGAGCUGAAGAAAUCUGCUGCUCGAACCGGUGCGAUCAAUGCCUUAAUCUGGGCAAAAGCUUGGGUGCCGGAUUUUGAUCCUAUUGAAGCGGCUCAGGGCUAUCCCAGCUUGAAGGAAGACGGGUCAGAGUUUGGUGAAGCGGAUGUGCGAGCAAUAAACCGGGAGGUGCGUCUGCUAGCUUGUCAAUUGGCUGAAGAAGCAGACUUUUCUCAUUAUCAAGCCCAAUAUGACAAUCAAAACAAGCGAAUAGCUGCACCAAUUCAUGAAGCGGAAAAUCUUAUUCCUCCAAUCCGUAAGCAUACUUACGCUCCCGAUAUUGACCCGUCGUUGCUGAUCCAUGAUGAAGCUGUUUUUCAAGCAUUAAUGGGAAUCGACUGGACAACUGUUGAUUUCCAGCCGCUGGGUAGAGAAACUGAAGCUGAAGUGGCGCAGGAUGACCCACAACCAUCAGGCCAGGCUGGUGACCAAGCUUGAACCGAAGGCCGGUUUAAAACUGCUUCUCCUUUGCGAAAAACAAUGAUCUUAUUGUGGGCACCGUGUUGCCUUGUAAUAAGCUAGUUGAUACUUUUGAUGUUGAUAUGCCUUCGUGCAUAAUCGCUGCCACUUGCUCUUCCUUUGGGUGAUGAAUUUUCCAAAGUACUUUCUGCAAUAAAAAAUCUUCAAGUGCCACCGCAGUUGUACCGUCAGGCGGAAUAUGAUGUCUGCAUUCAUGAAAUCAAAACAUCCGAAUUUUUUAAGUAUAUGACCAAAAUUUUGAGAUACAUAAUACCUGCCAUCGUUGAACGUGAAGUUGGCUUGGCCAAUCUUGAAGCGGAGUUUUAUAAACCCACACUGUUGGAGGAGAUAGCAGCUCCUAUAUAUAUAUAUAUAUGACACCGGUUUACUAUGGAAACCGUGCCGGGUUAUAAUAAACACCGUGUUACUCCAUAAGAGGAUGUUAACAAAAAAGAUCAAACCGAGCAAAUAGUCUCCGGAUUGAAAUGAACCGUGUUCCGUCAAUUGACAGUGUGAACCGGUUGAAAACUUUGUCGGUUUAAAAAACGCAAUAAAAAGAAAGAAAUAUCUUUCAAAGAAAAGUAUGAAGCAAAGGCAAUGACAAAACCAUUUGCAAAAAAAGACUUAUUUAAACUGAUCAGAUGGCGUUACCAUGGCCGAACACGACCAAACUCCCGAUAGGUGUAACUAUGGUUCUAGUCAGCCAGGUCCCCAAAUAAAACCUUGGCAUUUAUGCCAAUCAAGUGGCAUGGCAAUGGUUCCGGUUCGACCAAGCCCCCAAGUGAUUCUGUGGCCUUAGGCCGAUCAAGAGGCAUGACUGGUUCAGACGUGACCAAGUCCCCAAGUGAUCUGGUGGCUCUCGCCUAUCAAGAGGUAUUGUAUUGGUUCGGACACGACCAAACCCCCAAGUGAUAUAACAUGAUGCCUUUAAAAAAAAUCCAACUCAAGGGGUAAACCGGAGGCCACUUUAGAACAACUCCGUGUAACCACACAUGAUGUAAAAGAAUAGAUACCCCGCUUUAGCUGAGGUUCCGGUUUAUUAUAUUUAAUCAUAAUAUAUACAUCGUCGUAAUAUGUACAUAAGUAGAGCCAAUGGCUCAGGUAUAGUAAGGCCGAAGAUGAGCUAUGUUCCACGGCCUGUUGGUCUCCUCCUCUGAUGUACGUGAAUCCUUAUGCUCUCGAAUAUCGAUCAGAUAGUAUGAUCCGUUGUGCAGAUUCUUGCUGACCACGAAAGGCCCCUCCCAAGGUGGGGAUAGCUUAUGAAUAUUAUUCUGAUCUUGGAUGAGCCGAAGCACCAAAUCUCCUUCCUGAAAGGUUCUGGUUCUGACUCGGCGACUGUGAUAACGACGAAGAUCCUGUUGGUAAAUCGCUGAGCGGGCAGCUGCUAUGUCACGUUCUUCAUCCAACAGGUCCAAAGCGUCUUGCCGUGCUGUCUCAUUGUCCUCUUCAACAUAAGCCGCCACACGGGGUGAAUCAUGACCGAUAUCACUGGGGAGAACCGCCUCCGCUCCGUAAACCAUGAAGAACGGUGUGUAUCCUGUUGAUCUGUUGGGUGUAGUAUUGAUGCUCCAUAACACAGAUGGUAAUUCUUCUACCCAACAACCCGGUGUUCUCUGCAAAGGAACCAUAAGCCGGGGCUUGAUGCCUUUCAAGAUCUCUUGAUUAGCCCUUUCUGCUUGACCAUUGGACUGUGGAUGUGCCACCGAUGAAACGUCGAGCCGGAUGUGCUCCCGUUCGCAGAACUCCUUCAUGGCACCUUUGGACAAAUUGGUACCAUUAUUUGUGAUGAUACUGUGUGGAAAGCCAAACCGGAAAAUCACUUUUUUGAUGAACUGAACCGCCGUGGCCGCAUCACACUUGCUAACAGGUUCUGCCUCCACGCACUUUGUAAACUUGUCAACCGCCACCAGGAGGUGGGUCUUCUUAUCUUUGGACCUUUUGAAAGGCCCAACCAUAUCCAGCCCCCAAGUCCCAAACGACCAAGUAAUUGGAAUCAUUCUCAAUUCUUGAGCCGGUACAUGAGCACGCCUUGAAAACUUUUGGCAACCAUCACAUCGUCUGACCAGAUCCUCCGCAUCAGCAUGGGCAGUUAACCAAUAGAAGCCAUGGCGAAACGCUUUAGCCACCAGAGAUUUUGAACCGGCGUGGUGACCACAAUCUCCUUCGUGGAUCUCACGCAAAAUUUCACGGCCUUCUUCAGGAGACACACAACGUUGAAAUGCCCCUGACACACUGCAACGCUGCAACUCACCGUUGAUAAUAGUCAUGGACUUGGAUCGCCGGAUUAUCUGUCGGGCCAGAGUCUCAUCCUCUGGUAACUCGCCCCGGUUCUUGUACGCCAGAUAAGGAAGCGUCCAAUCCGGAAUAACGUGAAGAGUUGCCACCAAUUGAGCCUCCGGAUCAGGAAUAGCCAAAUCCGCUUCACCAGGGAUCUUCACCGACGGGUUGUGCAGUACAUCCAGAAAAACAUUGGGUGGGACCGGUUUGUGCUGAGAGCCUAGCCGGCUUAAAGCGUCUGCCGCUUCAUUCUUCUGCCGGUCCACGUGGUCCACCUGAUAGCCCUUAAAGUGACCUGCAGCAAUAUCCACCUCACGACGAUAUGCUGCCAUGAGUGGGUCCUUGGAAUCCCAAGUGCCAGAUACUUGCUGAGCCACAAGGUCUGAGUCACCGAAGCACUUAACUUGACUUAGAUUCAUCUCCUUAGCCAUCCGAAGACCGUGGAGCAAGGCUUCAUACUCAGCUGCAUUGUUAGUACAAGGGAACAUUAAGCGAAGAACGUAACAAAACGUAUCACCUCGUGGAGAAGUUAAUACGACUCCAGCCCCCGAGCCUUCCAAUUGCCUGGAUCCGUCAAAAUAGAUGGUCCAAUAUGUGUGAUUCGGCUUUUCUUCAGGUGCUUGCAUUUCCGUCCAAUCAUUGAUGAAAUCAACAAGUGCUUGAGACUUAACCGCCGUCCGAGGCACAUACUUCAAACCGUGCGGCCCAAGCUCUAUAGCCCACUUGGCAAUCCGACCAGUUGCUUCCCGGUUCUGGACGAUAUCCCCCAAAGGAGCAGAACUGACCACCGUAAUUGGAUGCCCUUGGAAGUAUUGUUUAAGCUUCUGGCUUGCCAUAAAAACUCCAUACACCAGCUUCUGCCAAUGCGGAUACCUUUGAUUGGACUCAAUGAGUACCUCGCUGAUAUAAUAGACUGGAUGUUGAACCGGAUACUCCUUACCUGCCUCCUUUCGCUCCACCACAAUAGCCACGCUGACCGCCCGAGCAUUAGCAGCAACAUGUAGCAGUAACGGCUCCUUGUCAAUGGGAGCGGCAAGCACAGGCGGAUUGGCCAAUUGCCACUUUAAGUCCUCAAAUGCUUCAUCAGCAGCAGAACUCCAGACAAACUGAUCCGUCUUCUUCAACAUCUGAUACAAAGGGAUUGCCUUCUCACCAAGAUGACUGAUAAACCGGCUUAACGCGGCAAUCCGGCCUGCUAGGCGUUGAACAUCAUUGAUACACUUCAUUUUAGCCAGGGAGGUGAUGGAUGUGAUCUUCUCCGGAUUAGCCUCAAUUCCUCUAUUGGACACCCGAAAACCCAGUAACUUGCCCGCCGGUACACCAAAGACGCACUUGUCCGGAUUAAGCAUCAUCUUGUAUGUCCUCAGGUUAUCAAAGGUUUCCUUCAAAUCAUCAAUCAGAGUCUCCUUCUCCCUGGACUUAACCACGAUAUCAUCCAUGUAAGCAUGUACAUUACGGCCAAUCUGUUUGUGAAGACAAUAGUGCACACACCGUUGAUAAGUUUCUUGGGCACUCUUGAGCCCAAAGGGCAUAGACACAUAGCAGAAGGCUCCAAAGGGAGUUAUGAACGCCGUCUUCUCCUGGUCCUUAACUGCCAUUUUGAUCUGAUGAUAGCCAGAAUAUGCAUCCAAAAAACUCAAACGCUCACAACCCGCCGUAGCAUCAAUAAUUUGAUCAAUACGGGGGAGGGCAAAAGGAUCUACUGGACAAGCUUUAUUAAGAUCUGUGUAAUCCACACACAUGCGCCAGGUGCCGUUUUUCUGAAGGACCAACACCGGAUUGGCAAGCCACUCAGGAUGAAAAACUUCAACAAUAAAGCCAGCUGCUAAGAGCCUGGCUACCUCUUCUCCAAUCGCCUUGCGUCUUUCUUCGUUAAACCGGCGGAGAAACUGUUUCACCGGUUUGUACUUAGGAUCCACAUUAAGGGUGUGCUUAGCGAGUUGCCUCGGUACACCUGGCAUGUCAGAGGGCUUCCAUGCAAAAAUGUCCCGAUUCUCACGGAUGAACUCGAUGAGCGCGAUUUCCUAUUUCAGAUCCAAGUUGGCACUGAUGCUGAACUGCUUGGACGAAUCGCCAGGUACGAAGUCAACAAGCUUAGUUUCUGCUGCCGAUUUGAACUUCAGGGACGGAUCAUGCUCCAUAGUUGGCUUCUUUAAUGGAGUCAUGUCUGCCGGAUCAACAUGGUCCUUAUAAUACUUCAGCUCCUCGGUGGCACAAACCGACUCUGCAUAGGCCGCAUCUCCUUCCUCGCACUCCAAAGCAAUUUUGCGGCUUCCGUGAACCGUUAUUGUCCCCUUGUGACCCGGCAUCUUGAGCUGCAAAUACACAUAACAGGGUCGUGCCAUAAACUUGGCGUAGGCCGGUCGCCCAAAUAGGGCGUGAUAUGGACUUUGGAUUUUCACCACUUCAAACGUCAAUGUCUCCGACCUGGAAUCAUGAUCAUCCCCAAAGGCCACUUCCAAAGCUAUCUUACCAACAGGAUAUGCUGAUUUGCCAGGUACUACACCGUGGAACACCGUAUUGGACGGUUUGAGAUUUUUAUCUGUUAGUCCCAUACGACGGAAGGUCUCAUACUAUAAGAUAUUAAUGCUGCUCCCUCCAUCCAUGAGCACCUUGGUGAACUUGUAACCUCCCACCUGAGGCGCCACCACCAGAGCCAACUGACUCGGAUUAUCAACCUGGGGAGGGUGAUCCUCUCUGCUCCAUAUGAUUGGCUGUUCAGACCAGCGUAGAUAACGGGGUACGGCCGGUUCAACAGAGUUGACCGCCCGCCUCUGAACCUUCCGGUCUAGCUUGUCCAAGCUAGUGGUGAAGACAUGGUACUGCCCACUGCUCAACUGCUUUGGGUUGCUCUGGUAACCUGACUGUUGCUGCUGUUGGUUGUAACCACCCUGGUUGUUCUGACUAUUUUGAUUAUUAUGUCCGCCCGGAUUACCAUUAAAUCCUGAACCGGAAUUUCCUCCACUGUAACCCGGCCCGGACCUUGAGCCACUACCGGAGCCGUGAUCAUACCGAAAAGCAUUAGAAUUCUUGAACUCCUGCAUAAUGAAGCAAUCCUUCCAAAGGUGGUUUGCUAGCGCCUCCUUCGUCCCAUGUCUUGGACAGGGCUGGCUCAAUAGAUAGUUUAGGCGGUCCGGGAUAGGGUUGGGCGCCCCAUUGCAAUUUUUCGGUUUACCCUUGCGUCGCUGGCCAUUGUCCUGCGUGUUGGUAUUAGCCACAAAGUCCAUGUUACCAUCCGCUUUACGCUUGCCUCCACCACCAUUGCCUGCCCAGUGAUGCUGCUGACCUUUGGAGUUGUUGUUCCUCUUUCCCUUCCCUGCCUUGUCAUCAUCAGAUUCGGGAUCCUUGGUACUAUCAGAAUCAGCAUACUUUACCAAAGCAGCCAUGAGGGUUCCCAUGUCAGUGCAAUGAUGCUUCAUCCGUCCCAACUUCAGCUUUAGGGGCCCAAACCGACAGUUGCCUUCUAGGGUUAAUACAGCGGUGUCAGCGUUGAUGUGGUCUGAUGAAUGCAACACUUGUGAAACCCGGCGCACCCAAUGAGUCGUCGAUUCUCCUUCCUCCUGGACGCAGGUAGCUAAGUCCACUAUCAACAUAGGCUGUUUACAUGUAUCCUUGAAAUUGCUGAUAAACCGGGCUCAUAAUUGGGCCCAUGAACUGAUAGAAUUAGCCGGCAAGCUUUUUAACCAAGUACGGGCCGUUCCUUCAAGCAUCAUGGUGAAGUAUUUCGCACACGCCGCGUCAUCCACAUCAAGCAUCUCCAUGGCCAUCUCAUAGCUCUCCACCCAUGUCUCGGGAGGUUGAUCCGCCGUGUAAUUUGGUACUUUGCGUGGGCCUUUGAAAUCCUUGGGCAGGCGCACAUUGCGUAAAGCGGGGAUAAGGCAAGGCACCCCCAAAGAACUAGAAGUAACACCAGGUUCGAUCGAGAUAGUUGGACGAACCGGCGUGAGCUGCCGAGCCUGAUGCUGUGCGGCUAACUCGGCCUCCCUGCGCGCUCGGGCCCGGUCCACCACUUCCUGAGCGUUAUCAGCACCACCCGCCGGGUUGUUGCCGCGGGGAGCUCCACGUUGUUCAUUACUCGACACUGCCAGUUCAUCCAUAUGUCUGCUAUAGCUCCGGCUUGGACGGGGGGUCGAGUGGAUCCGGUCGCGGCUGUACGAGUAUGCUUCCUGUUGGACCAAAGCUGUCCUCAAAAGGUCCUUGACCCGUCGCGUUUCUACUGCCUGCGGCAAGUCACCUUCAAUUGGAAUGGCCUCCAGCCGUGCAGCAGCGGCGGCGAGAUUGUCCAUUGGGUUGGAGUAGUGACCCGGAGGUGUUAAAACAGCCUGAGGUAUAACAGCGUUUUGACGAGGCUGAACCGGUGCACCAGUCCCAGGAGCUUCCGCCCGGUUUCCCUCCAGCGGAUUGCUGGUUCCUGCUCCUGGGGUGUUGAAAAGGUCUCUGGCCUCGAAAACCGGAGGCAAACGGGAUCAGUACUUCCUCCUCAUGACUUCAUGCGACGCGCUCUGGUCCAACAUGAGCCUGUAGGCUUGUGCAUCUAAAGCGGCCCGCUCUGUGGCCAUCCCGGUGUCCUCAACUGCCAGAUCCGCCUUGUCCUGAGUGAUCUAUUCCUUUAUCUUUGCAAUCUCCGCGUUGUGGAUGUACUGAUCCGCCGGAUUAGCUUCCGCCAAAACCACAGCCAAUGCAUCAAAUAACUCUGAUAGAACUUGAGCCGGCGGGCGCACAGGGCCUCCUGCCCCGGCAACCGUCGCCGCUGCUGAACCGGAGGUUGUUGCCGCAGCGGUCGAAGAAUGAAGCGCUGCUUGUGUGCCGGCCAUGAAUAUUCCAACUCGGUUGGGCAGAUCAAAGGGGUCCGGAAUACUGUCGCCAUCGGAACAACCCCCAAUUCGGCCAUCUUGUAGCUGAUAAAGAGAUUCGGUUUCCCCGGUCAAUGACUCGUCAUCGGAACAAACGACGGUCUCGCCGCGAGAUUCCGAUCCAUCCUCAUAACUUCCUCCAUGGAUGACCCCCAUGAAGGCACGCUUCAUGGCCGGUUUAACCCGGGCGGAUCGCGCAAGUUGAGUUGUCUCGAUGAGGUCGGUGCAUAUGUCCGGCUCAGGGCCCGGUUCACCGAUCUUGCCAAUGAAAACGUGAAUGCCACCAAAGGGGACCCGGUACCCGUACUCAACUGAGCCGGCCUCGGGGCCCCAGCCUGCAUCGUCGAUGUAGAGCUUGCCGCGACGACUCUUAGUCAUCCGGCCAACGGCCUAGCCCUCGAGUCCAUCAAAGCGGCCCUCCAAGAACCUGAAACCAUCAUGCGAUAGCCCCACGGUGGGCGCCAACUGUCGUAGUUUUGUCACGGCAGAUGUCCUAGAGAAAGGACUUAGUUGUGGAGCCAUCGCGACGGGUUAGCUUGAAGGGGUUAAAGCGGACAUAGGGACGCAAGAGAGUUUAUACUAGUUCAGCCCAUUCGAUGAAGGUAAAAGCCUACGUCUAGUUGUGAUGGAAUUGAUGGGGUUUCGAUGACUAGGGAGCAAACAAGCUUCGCCUAUGUCUCGAGUUGUUGUCUGUUGUCCUUGAACCGCCGUCGGGUCGUCCCCUUAUAUACACGGGUGACGCCCGUCGGUUCACAGAGUCCUAAUACCGGCUCAUAGAUCUGUCCGGUUUGAUCUCUACUUAUUCCUAACUUACAAUACAAGUUAACUACUAACGCCGGUUUACGGCUACAGGCCUUGAACCGACCAUGGGCCUUGAGCCCUCAUCUUCCUUCUUGGGCUUUAACAUACUUAACUACUGAUGAAGUUAAUCCGGCCCAGACAGGCCGGUUUACGCCCAGUAGUAAUAUCCCCAACAUUAGGCCCCAGAUUGAUUUGAACAUGUUCAUGUCAAUCCUUUAGCAAAAAUCUUCCACAUUUGAUCUUUGGACCAGGUCUAAGCGGGGUACCGAACAGCAGCAAAUCGAGAUUGGAGCACACCAAAUGCCCGCUCGACAUGCUUCCUGCAAGCCUCCUGAAGCUUCGCAAACCAGGCGUUCUUGCCUCCUGCCACAGGGUUUGAGAUCGUCUUCACAAAUGUCGACCAUCUCGGAUAGAUGCCGUCAGCUAGAUAGUACCCCUUGUUGUAUUGGUGCCCAUUGAUCUCGAAGUUCACCGGAGAAGAAUGGCCCUCAACGAGCUUGGCAAAAACAGGAGAGCACUGCAGCACGUUGAUGUCAUUGUGAGUUCCUGGCAUACCAAAGAAGGAGUGCCAAAUCCAGAGGUCCUGUGUGGCUACCGCCUCAAGCACCACACUGCAACCGCCUUUGGCGCCUUUGUACAUCCCCUGCCAACCAAAUGGGCAAUUCUUCCAUUUCCAAUGUGUCGUGGUUUUGUCACAGCAGAUGUCCUCGAGAAAGGACUUAGUCGUGGAGCCAUCGCGACGGAUUAGCUUGAAGGGGUUAAAGCGGACACAGGGACGCAAGAGAGUUUAUACUAGUUCAGCCCCUUCGAUGAAGGUAAAAAGCCUAUGGUCUAGUUGUGAUGGAAUUGAUGGGGUUUCGAUGACUAGGGAGCAAACAAGCUUCGCCUAUGUCUCGAGUUGUUGUCUGUUGUCCUUGAACUGCCGCCAGGUCGUCCCCUUAUAUACACGGGUGACGCCCGUCGGUUCACAGAGUCCUAAUACCGUCUCAUAGAUCUGUCCGGUUUGAUCUCUACUUAUUCCUAACUUACAAUACAAGUUAACUACUAACGCCGGUUUACGGCUACAGGCCUUGAACCGACCAUGGGCCUUGAGCCCUCAUCUGCCUUCUUGGGCUUUAACAUACUUAACUACUGAUGAAGUUAAUCCGGCCCAGACAGGCCGGUUUAUGCCCAGUAGUAAUAUCCCCAACACAAUGCAUGCAGUCGAUGCUCCCAAGCAUCCCAGGAAAUCCUCUUGCUGCAUUUUGGGCUAGGAUCUGAGCAGUGUCUUCCGCAUUGGGUGUUCUCAAGUAUUGUGGCCCAAACACUGCCAUCACUGCCCGACAGAACUUGUAGAAACACUCUAUGCUGGUGGACUCGGCCAUGCGCCCAUAGUCGUCGAGUGAAUCACUGGGAGCUCCAUAUGCAAGCAUCCUCAUCGUUGUCGUGCACUUCUGGAUGGAGGUGAAUCCAAGAGCGCCAAUGCAAUCCAUCUUGCACUUGAAGUAGUUGUCGAACUCCCGGAUGGAAUUCACAAUCCUGAGGAAGAGCUUUCGGCUCAUCCGAUAACGGCGCCGAAAUGUUCUCUCGCCAUGAAGUGGAGCAUCGGCGAAGUAGUCGGAGUAGAGCAUGCAGUAGCCUUGGAGACGAUGCCGGUUCUUUGCUUUCAUCCGCCCCGGCGCCGAGCCACCUCGCCGCGGCUUUUCAUUGCUCGCUAGUAGCUGGGCGAGGGCGGCGAGCACCAUGAGAUGCUCUUCUUCCUGGACGUCGGCCGCGGCUUCCUCCUCCAGCAGCGCGGCGAGCUCUUCCUCCUCAUCCGAGUCCAUCACCGAGGUAGGCAAAACGUCGAACACCUUGCACUCGGUGGGCGUGUACCCGCCGUUAAACUGCGCCUCCGCGGCCGGAAACGGCGGUCGGAAACGCCCAGCUGCUGUGGGAGGGGCUGCUGCGGCGAAGCGCUGCUAUUUUUCGGCGGGGAAUGGCUAUCUAGCGGAGUAGGGCGGCGGCCGUCGCCGGGAUAUAGCUAGUGGUGGCCGAGGGCGCGGGGGGUGCGAGGCGAGCCGGGGGAAGAAAACCUUGACUUUUCCCCUGUUGGUGUGGGCCAGGCGUGCUUUUCCCUAGCGCCGGAGCCCCCAACUGCUCCCCAGCGCGCCGGGUUCGGCCUGUGACCGCCGGACGGAAAAAAGUCCGAACCGGCGAUUUUCGGCGUCCUGGGGCGCGACUGGGCCGUUUUUUCGGCGCCGGCGCCGAAAAAGUGGCCUGGGGGGCCCUGUUGGGGGCACGGCUGGAGAUGCCCUAAUACUACCGUGUGACUUAUGCACCACCGUGCUUGUCAUUGCUUUUCAAGUUUAUAUGUGAAAAAUAUUACACUCUGUUAAUCAUAUUUUUAUGUCUUUGAGUGUCAAAAAACAAAACAAAAACUGUCCACCACCUAAGUUCAAAAAGAAAAAA
rnacentral:lncRNA from 1 species